AAACAUGAAAGAACAAACUAACUAAAAGAGAUACUCGAAAUAAAAACUAUAAAUAUAACUAUAAAUUCUUUAGGCAUCCCCUUCGCCGUCUUCCUGCGGAACGGGCUUGGGAACAAUGUCUUCCUGAUCUGAAAUGGUUAAAUAAGGGAUGAGCUACACCAGCCUAGUAAAGACAUCACACUAUCUCACCGCUACAGAAGUAAAGGUGGGUAGAAAACAAAAAUGACCAAUGGAGCAUAAUUUAUAAUGAACUCGUUUAUUAACAUAAAAACCUUUACUAUCCACUUACCUCGGUGAGAUCUAUGAAAACAACAUAUGAAAA
rnacentral:lncRNA from 1 species